CAUGAAUAAACUGUAAAGUCUGCUGUCAUGUACUGGUGAUACUGGUUGUGUUUCCUGGAAAAAUUUGAGAUUGAGGGUUAAAUCUCUGGGUCUGGUCCAGGGCCUCCUCCUGGUGGGACAUGCGUGGAACACCUCACCCAGGAGGCAUCACUGUCAGAUGCCCGAACCACCUAGACUGGCUCCUUAGUUCAAAAUUUAUCAUUCAUAUUUAGAAAUGUCUAAAAUUAAAGCUCACAAACCCCUCCUCCACAAUGACAUGGUAACUCAAUAAGAGGGUAGAGAGUUAUGUGUCAAAAUAUGGCUCAGACUCAACGACAGUCUUUAUUCCCUCUAUUUGUAUGGAUGCUGUGUUUGUAUGUUUGUGCUUGUCCGUGCAAUAGAAAACACCUACACAUAUAACAUAUUCAAAAAUCAAGGCAAAAUGCAGAACCAGUGUGUGAAAAGAUAAGUGCUUCCUUAAAAACUGUUAGGAGUAAGCAGCAGCAAAGUGCUGCUAAUCCAUUGCAGUUGGUUAACUUAUCAUCAGCAAGUCUAAGUCUUUCUUUGAAAGCACAGGUUUUACCCGUUUACUGGUCUGGAAACAGCUGCAGACACCACAUCCCCACUCACCUUUCCUAUGAUACUAUGAAAUCUGCUUUAAGUCCAGUACACACUAGUGGACUUGCAGAUAUGGAAGCUAUAAGAAGCAUUUGAAAUGCUUUUGCUUCACUGAGAUUGAACCAGUUUGACCAGGAUACACACACACACCUCUUUUCCACCCACAUGGUGCUGAUUGAAAAUCAGUUACUACUUCUGAAAACCAGCCAACAUUUUAUUGGUUGUUAUGAAACAUCACUAACAGAUUGUUUUAAUCUUCAUGAGAAUCUCCAUUAUAUAGAAACUAUAACAGUGUAACUGUGUGCAGAGGUAAUUAUGGAAUGUUGUUGCUUUUGUUAUUGUCUGUUUUUAGAAACACAAAGAAAACUUUUAAAAGUGAAAAGGCAAAAUAGAUCUCAACACAGAUGAGGUUUCUGAGCUAAAUUCCUUAAAUGUAGCUAAACUGACAGGAUGACUUUGAUCAAUGUUGAUGGUAAUGCCAUAGGUUGAUUUUUUCACUGCUGAGCAUUUGAGAGCAUCAAAUAAACACUAAUAAUGAAAAAUAACAAUAAUGUUUGCAGUCGCACUCUGUCAGAUUUGGUUUGGUUUUCACUUCUUUAGUUUGGGAUCAAAAUAGAAUCCUUCAGGGAUCAAACAGGUGUGGCUACUAACUUGUCACACAGGUCCAUGUUGUGUCAUUAAAACAGGGAAUACAGGUGCAUUUCCUCAUAUGUGGCUGUAAGGUAACGUGGUAACGUCCUUUUUACUUUUAGAUUUUUAACUUGUGUUUUAACUUCUGAUUUUUAAUUCAUGAGCUUUUAAGCUUUUAAUUUUUUUUUUUACUUGAGUGGAAUACAAUUUAAUGAGGUUCCUUUUGACCCACUGAAAAAGAAGACAGGAGUAUACUGACCUUGAACGUUUUUAUCUUUGUGGAUAAUUUUUUCAUCAUGAUGAUCAGAAGACUCUUUGAGGGUUUCACAGAUGCCAUCAGAACGACAACCAGAAAAACAUCACAGCUGAGUCUGGACAGAACAUCACUCUGCCAUGUCGAGCUCCAAACAACAACAUCAUAGUUGUAAAUUGGAGCAGAGCUGACCUGAAGCCACAAUAUGUGCUUUUGUUCCGGGAUGAGCAAUUUGUUCCAGAUGACCAGCAUCCAUCUUUUAAGAACCGGGUGGAUCUGCAGGACAGACAGAUGAAGGAUGGAGACGUGUCUUUGAUUCUGAAGAAUGUGACGAUUAAUGAUAAUGGAACAUACGAGUGUCGUGUCGUCAUGAGAGAAACGCGCUCGUGGAAAUCCAUCAGCAUCAUCACACUGAGUGUUGAUCCUCCAGGUCAGACAGGAGGAGGAGAUGAAGAGAAUGUUAAAUCUGUUGGACUCAUCGUUGGUCUUUCAGUUUUUGGUCUGAUUCUUCUUGCAGUUGUUUUGCUGAUGUACAGAAGAUGUAAAUAACAACAGAGCUCAGACUAGUUUGCUGAUGUUCAUUAGCAGCAGUUUGAAAUGUAAGUGAUUCUCAUGGCCACAUUAAUCUCCACUACAAGGGCUAAGCAUUUACUCUGCUAAUAUAAAUAUAAAAGCUGUAUCAUUACACAAAGAUAAAAUCAUGUAUUACACGUUACUUGUUACUUUUCCAAAAAGUAAUACAGCAAUACUUAUGGAAUUACUUACUGGAAAAAGUACUUCAUUACACUAAUCAUUGUAUUUCUGUCACAUUAUUGUCACAAAAUUAUCAGUUAACGGCAUGAACCUAUAUGUUACAGUCACACACAGCAACCCAAUCUAAAUGAAUACAAACUUAUGAUCUUUCUAUUAGU